CUACGGGUCGCAGCAGUGGGGAAUUUUGCGCAAUGGGGGAAACCCUGACGCAGCAAUACCGCGUGAGUGAAGAAGGCCUUUGGGUCGUAAAGCUCUUUUCUUGGGGAAGAUAGUGACGGUACCCAAGGAAUAAGCACCGGCUAACUCCGUGCCAGCAGCCGCGGUAAUACGGAGGGUGCAAGCGUUGUUCGGAUUUACUGGGCGUAAAGGGCACGUAGGCGGCACAGCAAGUUAAGGGUGAAAUCCCGGGGCUCAACUCCGGAACUGCUCUUAAAACUGCUGAGCUAGAGAGAGUCAGAGGCGGGUGGAAUUCCAGGUGUAGAGGUGAAAUUCGUAGAUAUCUGGAGGAACACCGGUGGCGAAGGCGGCCCGCUGGGGCUAUUCUGACGCUAAGGUGCGAAAGCGUGGGGAGCAAACGGGAUUAGAUACCCCUGUAGUC
rnacentral:rRNA from 1 species